rnacentral:rRNA from 1 species
GAUGAACGCUGACAGAAUGCUUAACACAUGCAAGUCAACUUGAAUUCGGUUUGGGUGGCGGACGGGUGAGUAACGCGUAAAGAACUUGCCUCACAGAUAGGGACAACAUUUGGAAACGAAUGCUAAUACCUGAUAUUAUGAUUUUAGGGCAUCCUAGAAUUAUGAAAGCUAUAUGCACUGUGAGAGAGCUUUGCGUCCCAUUAGCUAGUUGGAGAGGUAACGGCUCACCAAGGCGAUGAUGGGUAGCCGGCCUGAGAGGGUGAUCGGCCACAAGGGGACUGAGACACGGCCCUUACUCCUACGGGAGGCAGCAGUGGGGAAUAUUGGACAAUGGACCAAGAGUCUGAUCCAGCAAUUCUGUGUGCACGAUGAAGUUUUUCGGAAUGUAAAGUGCUUUCAGUUGGGAAGAAAAAAAUGACGGACCAACAGAGAGGC